rnacentral:rRNA from 1 species
AAUGAACGCUGGCGGCGUGCCUAACACAUGCAAGUCGAGCGAGAAAGUCUCUUCGGAGAUAAGUACAGCGGCGGACGGGUAGAGUAACGCGUGAGAAUUUACCCUUUAGUGAAGAAUACCUCUGAGAAAUCAGGGUUAAUACUGCAUACGUCCCUACGGGGAGAAAGGUGGCCUCUUUGCUGACCGCUAAAGGAUAAGCUUGCGUACUAUUAGCUAGUUGGUGAGGUAAAGGCUCACCAAGGCGAUGAUGGUUAGCCGGCCUGAGAGGGUGUACGGCCACACUGGAACUUAGACACGGUCCAGACUCCUACGGGAGGCAGCAGUGAGGAAUAUUGCGCAAUGGGCGAAAGCCUGACGCAGCGACGCCGCGUGGAGGAUGAAGGUCUUCGGAUUGUAAACUCCUGUUAAGUGGGAAGAAA